GAUGAACGCUAGCUACAGGCUUAACACAUGCAAGUCGAGGGGCAGCGAGAGAGUAGCAAUACUUUUGUCGGCGACCGGCGGACGGGUGCGUAACGCGUGGGUAACCUGCCUUAUACAGGGGGAGUAACACUUAGAAAUAGGUGCUAAUACCGCAUAAGCGCACAGUAUCGCAUGAUACAGUGUGAAAAACUACCGGUGGUAUAAGAUGGACCCGCGUCUGAUUAGCUAGUUGGUGAGGUAACGGCUCACCAAGGCGACGAUGCGUAGCCGGCCUGAGAGGGUGAUCGGCCACAUUGGGACUGAGACACGGCCCAAACUCCUACGGGAGGCAGCAGUGGGGGAAUA
rnacentral:rRNA from 1 species